UACGAAGGGGGCUAGCGUUGCUCGGAAUUACUGGGCGUAAAGCGUGCGUAGGCGGUUCGUUAUGUCUGCUGUGAAAGCCCCGGGCUUAACCUGGGAAUGGCAGUGGAAACUGGCGGGCUUGAGUGUGGCAGAGGGGGGUGGAAUUCCGCGUGUAGCAGUGAAAUGCGUAGAGAUGCGGAGGAACACCGAUGGCGAAGGCAGCCCCCUGGGCCGACACUGACGCUGAGGCACGAAAGCGUGGGGAGCAAACAGG
rnacentral:rRNA from 1 species